rnacentral:rRNA from 1 species
AUUGAACGCUGGCGGCAGGCCUAACACAUGCAAGUCGAGCGGAUGAAGGGAGCUUGCUCGUUGAUUCAGCGGCCGACUGGUGAGUAAGUCCUAGGAAUCUGCCUGUUAGUUUUGUAGAACGGCCGGAAACGGGCGCUAAUACCCCAUUCGUGCUGACGGAGAACGUGGGGGAUCUUCGGAUCUCACGCUAUCAGAUGAUCCUAGGUCGGAUUAGCUAGUUGGUGGGGUAAAGGCCUACCAAGGCGACGAUCCGUAACUGGUCUGAGAGGAUGAUCAGCCACACUGGAACUGAGACACGGUCCAGACUCCUACGGGAGGCAGCAGUGGGGAAUAUUGGACAAUGGGCGAAAGCCUGAUCCAGCCAUGCCGCGUGUGUGAAGAAGGUCUUCGGAUUGUAAAGCCCUUUUAGUUGGGAGGAAGGGCAGUAAGUUAAUACCUCGCUGUUUUGACGGUACCAACAGAAUAAGCACCGGCUAACUUCGUG